rnacentral:ncRNA from 1 species
CUGGAGCCGUUGUGGCUCCGGCCGGUUGCGCCGGCCCUCGGGCCCUCAGGGAGGCGAGGGUGCGAGGGUACGAGUUUGAGGCCAACCUGGUCCACAUUGAUUGAAAAAAAAAUUUUUUU